AUACAUGGCAGUACAUGGCAGUAAAUCAGAGUACAUGGCAGUAAAUGAGAAUACAUGGCAGUACAUGGCAGUAAAUGAGAGUACAUGGCAGUACAUGGCAGUAAAUGAGAAUACAUGACACAAUCGGCACGUACUAAGUUUAACACUAACUACCAACGAUCCCCAGCUGGAAAAAACAUCCUAUGAUUGGGGCAUCCUAGAGGCGGUUAUCGUUGGACUGGACUGCCUUACACUGCAAUGGCCACCAUACCCUGUGCGUUAGCCAUCGUUACCUGAAUUAGUGAUGGUGACUUAAAGGGUACUGUGCCAUCGAAGAAAGGGUUAAAGUGCACGUACCAUUGUAGACAC